rnacentral:rRNA from 1 species
UGGGGAAUAUUGCACAAUGGGCGAAAGCCUGAUGCAGCGACGCCGCGUGAGGGAUGACGGCCUUCGGGUUGUAAACCUCUUUCAGCAGGGAAGAAGCGAAAGUGACGGUACCUGCAGAAGAAGCGCCGGCUAACCACGUGCCAGCAGCCGCGGUAAUACGUAGGGCGCAAGCGUUGUCCGGAAUUAUUGGGCGUAAAGAGCUCGUAGGCGGUUUGUCGCGUCUGCUGUGAAAGCCCGGGGCUCAACCCCGGGUCUGCAGUGGGUACGGGCAGACUAGAGUGCAGUAGGGGAGACUGGAAUUCCUGGUGUAGCGGUGAAAUGCGCAGAUAUCAGGAGGAACACCGAUGGCGAAGGCAGGUCUCUGGGCUGUAACUGACGCUGAGGAGCGAAAGCAUGGGGAGCGAACAGGAUUAGAUACCCUGGUAGUCCAUGCCGUAAACGUUGGGCACUAGGUGUGGGGGACAUUCCACGUUUUCCGCGCCGUAGCUAACGCAUUAAGUGCCCCGCCUGGGGAGUACGGCCGCAAGGCUA